rnacentral:lncRNA from 1 species
UAUUUUUUUCUAUUUGUUAACUUUAAAUUAGACUGUAACUUUCCAACCAAUUGCACACAUAAUUACCUAUAUGAUAUUUAAAUAUCAUUACCUACUUGAUGUAUAAUAAUAAAUUGUUUCAUAAUCAGUGUAUUGGAGUUCAACGUUUGCGUUAUGUUGCUAACCCAGAUAAUGCAUAUUGGAUGACAUAAUUGCGCAUUGUGUUUUAACAAAACUAAUAAUUUUUAUUCUUAAGAGGACGCUACACGGGCACACGCCACACGGCCAUUUGUUGACUCCACCUUACAAGUGCGUAACAUGGCAAGCUUAGUUCUUACGAUACUUUAAUUUUUUAGUAAGUUAUGCGUAUAUAAUAUAGCGUAAAUUAAAAAUACUCAUAACUCAAUUAAAAACUGAACUAUCGUAAAAACUCACACACGAACACAGAUAAUGUUCUUAGUUCUUACCAUCAAGUUUCAUACUAGGUCGAUCCACUCUCAUUUUUAUACUAACGUAGUUAAUCGUGGUUUUCUGAGCGUAAAUUUGCUACACGCCUAAGGUGUCUACGCACUUAUAAGACGGAUACAAUAAAUAUCUAUAUAGCUACAACUAGCGACAGCUUUAGAUAAUACCAUGAUAAAAGAAAGAAAGUAGUCCUUGGCAGUCGGAGACCGGGGCCCUCUGUGCAAAAUGCAGUACUAUGAAGUAUGAACAUCCUACGGAUAUAUAAGUGUACGGAAACUAAUAAAUUGUUUACAUACUAUAUGCACAAUACACAUGUAUAAAUGAGUACCUAAUGGAUAAUCGUACAAGCUAUACUUAUACAAUUUAAAAAGAGUCAUGGUUCAAAAUAAUACAUAUAUAUUUUCCAUAAAACGUAAAAAAACAUGAAUAAUCCCUACGGGUAAAGUAGUAACCCUAGAGACUGAAACGCAGCCUGUGGCAGUAUGGCCAUUUAAUCUCGAGACUUGUUAUGGCAAGUGGACGGCCGUACGUGUUUGGUCUCCUUACUCUAUAGUCUUCGUGAUAAUAUUACUAACUAUAGUAACUACUAACUACCUACCUAUGUAUUUUCUAUUUUUUUUUUAAUUACUGCAGAAACUUAUGUAAAACCUUAUAUUAAAUUAAGAAAAUACAUGGACAUUAACGCAAACAGUUGACUCCCAUCGGUAGAUCGUUUUGAAAUUGUUUGUAAUGAUAUAUUUCAUUGAAGCGAAUAAUUAGGUCAUCCUUAUAAUAUUAUGUUUAUUAUUUUAUUUUUAGAGCAAAGAACGGCUGUUAGGAAAAAAGUUUAUAAUUCAUAUGCAGCAUAUUUUAAGUUGGAAAAAGCCAAAUCUAAAACAAAAACGUAUCUUGACUUCUGUGCGAGUGUUAGCGGUACAGCAAAAGAUAUUAAGGUUUUUUUUCACGGUAUGAUGGAUGUUGUCAGUGUUGAGACCAGAUAAGUAAAAAUUAUCUAGAUAUAGAUAAAAGAUUAUUGCUCUAAUAUUAUCUAGAUUAAGAUAAGAUAGCAUGUAUUUAAAUUAUCUCAGAUAAGAUAAAAUACAAACAAAAUUUAUCUAGAUAAAAAAAAGAUGAAAAUUUAAAAUAUGUUUAAAAUAGUUUAAUUUAACCAACAAUUAAAUUUAUAUUUUAUCGUGGAAAAUUAAUAUAUGUACCAAUAAUUGAAAUCUUAAGAUUAGGAAUACAGAUUUUUUAAACAUAACAUAAAUAAUGACCAUCAAUAUUCCACAAUUUUCUUAAUAUAUGUUUACCCAUUGGCCAUUGGACAUUGGUCAUUCUUACUUACAUAAUUUAAAAGAUUAAUAUAAGUAUAAUUUGUGUUUUGAUCGUGUUUUACUAUAUACAUUAUGACUAUUUUCUAUUUGACAUUUAUAAAAUGGACUCCAUAGAUGAGUUGCAUGCAUACAGGGCGCUCAAAAAAAUUUUUUUUUUCGAUUUACUUAUAUUAUCUAGAUAAUUACUAAAAAGAUAACGAUUUUUUUAUCUUAGAUAACCCCUAGAUACCUAUCCACAUUUUCAUCUAGAUAAGAUAAAAUAUAAAUAAAUAUCAUCUAGAUGAAAUAUCUAGAUAAAUUUAUCUAGAUAAGUCUCAACACUGGAUGUUGUUUAAAUAUAUUUUUGUUUAUUCAUUUUAAGAUAAAUAUAAAUUAAAUUGUAUAAUUCAAUACUAUAUCAGUAUAUCACAUUAUAAUAUUAUUAUUACUAAUAUAUUAAAUAAUAUAAAAUAUUAUAUAUAUAUGUAUUUUUUGUAUGGG